CUGGAUGAUACAGAUAAAUUUCAUUUAUUUCUGAUGAAAAGACCAGAGCUGAACAAAAAUUUUCACCUCCAAAUACAGAAACAUCAAAAGAAAAGCCAAGAUUAUCUAUAGUUCACCUGUUGGGAAGAGCUUUCUGCUACCAAGAAAAUGGACCAUCCUAACAGCCAGCACGUGUUUAUUCAUUAUUCACUGCAAAAAUAAGAAAUCAUCGUAUUUGUUGAUAUUGACAUUUGGCUAUGCUUUUCAAGGUAACCAGCAUGCAAGGGAUGAAGAUGACUAAGAGUUUCAAAGACAACACAUGUGGCCUGCCACAUAAUUACUUUAUUUCUAUAAUCAGUGCAUCUCUAAAUUUUUGAGAUCUAGAUAGAGGAGGCUUGGAAGUAGAAAGAAAUACAGCUCUUCAACUAACUUUAUAUUUACUUUUUAAAAUCUGCAAAGGAUAAUACCUGUACUUUAGCAAUGUCCACUUCUGAUGCCCAGGGUGGGUGAUAAGGGUGAUUCAGCAUAGGAAAAGGCAGAGCACAAGUUUGAGACAGGCCCAAGCAAAAUAGAGUGACGUAUAUAGGCUCUCAGUUAUGAACUGUGUAUGUGUCAUUCAAGCAUCAGCCCAGAUGUUCACAGAAGCUUACCAGCAGAAGACAAGUGGAUGGAGGAUGUGCUGUUCCCAGAUGGAUGGCAAACUCACCCAAUGGCCCAAGUCAAAGUGUCCACUAUCAAAGCAAGGGAAUAUUGAAGAAUUCUGCCCAGGAUAACUUUUGAGGGCCUUAUCUAAAGUAAAGAAAUGCUUCUAAGUGCUGUAAUGGGAUGGGACUGACCAGUUUAAUGAAGGCAAACUCCAGGCCUAUAUGAGUUGCUCCUGCCAGAAGGUGUCAAACAACUAUCGAAUACCGUGAAAUCCUUGAAAUUCAACAUGGUGAAAAGAAAUCAACUAUUUUCCCAUGACUUAGUACAGGAGCAGCAGAAGAACCAAUUCCAGAAGGAAGAAUAAGUGAUAUUCCAAAGUCCCCCUCACCAUAUUGUACCCUUGUCAAAGAGCAAAAAUGAGCAAGUGUCCAACCUCAAGGACCAGGAGGACAGCAUUCCUUCUGGGGACCUGGUCCAGGAACAGCAGAAGAACCAAUUCCAGAACCAAAAACAAGUGAUAUUCCAAAGUCCCCCUCACCAUAUUGUAUCCUUGUCAAAGAGCAACAAUGAGCAAGUGUCCUACACCUCGAGGACCAGGAGGACAGCAUUGCUUCUGGGGACUUGGUCCAGGAGCAGCAGAAGAACCAAUUCCAGAAGCAAAAACAACUGAUAUUCCGAAGGCCCCUCACCACAUUGUACCCUUGUCAAAGAGCAACAAUGAACAAUUGUCCAACCUCGAGGACCAAGAGGACAGCAUUCCUUCUAGGGACUUGGUCC